UUGUUUUGUUUGGACGCGUCUUUGACUACUUUUGUGAAAAUUUGUGUAAAUCGUGAAAAACACUUUACUUUGUGCAUUUUCCGGUUAAUUUUGUGAUAUUUAUCAUGCGUGCAUGCGUUUGUUGUAAAAUACGCUACCAAAAAGGAAACGGAAUAACUUUCCAUAAGUUUCCCACUGGUUCAGAUCAGCAGUUAUGGCUACAAAAUAUGAAAAUGGAAAAUUAUCAUCUUAAACCUAAUGAUCAUCUGUGUAGUAAGCAUUUUACAGAAGACUGUUUUGUGAGACAUGCUAGUCGUACCUCUUUACAACAAGGAAGUUUACCUACAAUUUUAAUUGACCCAACAAAUUGCAAUACAUCUAUAUUUGGGAAUAUGGACACCUCUACACCAAGUGUAUUGGUUAUAUCUGGAGACAAACAAAUAUUUAGUAUAGUUGGGCCAUUACAAACAUGCGAAUGAAGUCAUUAAUCAUUUUUAUCAGAUCUCUCUCUCACACUUAUUGGCAUAACGGAACUCUCCCUCUCACUGAUAGUGUUGUGUGCAACAAAAAAGGGAUUUGUUGAUAGUCAUUAGCAGAAGCAACUAUGAACACAUCGUCUAUUCUUGAAGAUGUGAUUACUGCGACACCGUGUGUAUAUGAGAAAGUAGGACUGAAAAUAAGAAAAUUAAGCAGCAUUGAUGACCAUCAAGAUGUUGCUGCAAUUGGAGAGGCAACCACUAUCAAACUUGAAAGGCUUGACACCAUUCCUGUUGUACAUGUUAAAGUUGAGCAUGAUGACCAGUAUGAAAAUAUACAAUGCAGACCUAUCUCCGAAGUUUGUUCAAAUAUAAGACAUGAUCACCACUAUGAAAAUACUACCAAGUGUUCAAAAAAAUCGAUGCAGCGAGUCAAAAGAUCUCUCAGUCUAUCACGUGCGCGUGUGAAAGUUUUAACACAACAUGUUAAAAGGUUGAAGAUCCGUGUGUCUUCUUUAAAAACUAUAAUAUCAAAUCUAAAAAAAAACAAAAUGGUUGGUGAUGACACUAUGAACAUGUUAGAUCAAUAUCACGAUUUUCGAUUACAAUUAAAUCAGCAGAUGUUAAACUAUUAGUAGAUACAAGGCGUUGAGUACGACAGUCGGGAAGAUAGCUACCACGCGUGAGUCGAGUUCGGAAAUUCAGUGAUCAUUUUUUAUGGGCGUAGCCUAUUGUAACAAUUUACAUAGUCAUCCCUUUUACAUUAUACUUACCGUUUAAUGAUGGAGAUUUCUCCCCCGGAACCUGCGGAUAUUCCCACACUCGCCGGGUCAAAACGGCGUAUACAUACAAGCAGCUCAGAAGAAAACGCUGCAAAAAAAACUAUAACUGAUACGGAUCUGGCUUCUGCCUCCAUUCAGAAUGUAUAUUGUGACCCAAGUUUAGUUAUUGGUUGUAAACAAUAUACGGAUUUUGAUAAA